AUUAUUUUAAGAUUAUUUUUUAUUGUUGAAAAAAUUAAAAAUAAAUUGUUUUUAACAAAAAUUAAAAUUUAUAAUAUUUCAUUUUUUGGUUUUUUGUUUUAAAUUAAAAUAAUAAAUAUGGGGGAAAAAAAAAUUUUGUUAUAAAUUAUAUUAGUUUAUUUUAAUUAAAAAUAUUUUUUAUUAAAUUUGUUUUUUUUAUUUUUUUAUAAAAAAUAUUAAUUUAAUUAUUAUUAUUGAGUUUAAUUUAGUUAUUUUUAAAAAAAUUUUGUAUAAAAUAAAUUUGAUAAUAAAUGUUUUUUAAAUUCUUUGGGGGUUUAGUUUAUGAUUUUUUGUUUCUGCUCAUUGUUAAAUAAAAGCACUUUUAGCGUGAUUGG
rnacentral:rRNA from 1 species